AACCUGGUGGUCUAGUGGUUAGGUUUCAGCAUUCUCAUUGCUGUGGCUUGGGUUCAACUCCUGGUCAGGGAA